ACCCUGAAGAUUCCGCCUCCUUCACGGAAAUAUCUGAGCAGUUACAAAUAGAUUUCUUUCCCAGCAAACACUUGGAAAAACUUUCCUCAGAGCAAAUGCGACGUUAUCUUCAGUACAAGACGAUUCUCUCACUUUGCUGGUUCCACUCCUGCAUCAGGUCAAUCCUCAGAAUUCAAAAAGCUCCUCUCACAGAGGCUACAGGACGUCACAGGAGCCACGUUCUGCCUUUCUUAAGUUAAUCCUCCUCAUCCCCACCACAGAUAAUUAACAUUGGAACGUGUGUCCCAACUACUGUAACCUGUCAGCGCCACCAGGCGAGCAGGACAGGGGGCCGGAGGGGGACAGAUGCGGCCCCUGUUGCUCCUUCUACAACACUCAUCUCACCGGGCAAGGCGCAGGUGCAGAAACUGCUCACAUGAAUGUAAAUGAAAUUCUGGGAAGAUCAACUGGCAAGAAAAUACCUGGUUCUUCCUGAUCACUCAAAUUAACAAGGUUUUUUGUGACCUCCUCUUGGUUUUGGCCCUACGUGCACUCUUGAGUGCCUAUUUGCUUAAUCAGUUAUGUAUUUUUCUACAUCCUCUCACAUUCUGCUUGAAAGCGAUUCAGAAAGUUAAGAAGUUGCCAAAAUCUGGAGAGAUCAGAUUCCAUUUUAACAGCCAGCAAAGGACCUGCCAACUGAAUGGAAUUUUGUAAUUACCGAGUAAAAGGCUGGCACUUCCUUGCCAAGAACAGAGUAAAAGCAUGAACACUGAGGAGCGAGGUAGCCAGUGAGGGCGAGAACAGCACGAGCCCUACCGCGAGCACAGCGUGGGGUGCGGCAGUGAAGCUAGAUUCCUACCUUCUUUUGGGUUCUGCUUAAAUUGUGCAGAAAGAGAAGGAAGAAAGAUGACAUCUCUGUCCCGGUCCUUCCAGGAGACGCGGAAGAUCUUACAGACCAGCUGCAAGGCCUGCUCUUCGGACACUUCUGAACCCGAGGAAGGCUCCUUGUGAGGGAGAAGAUUUGCAGGGGUCCACACCUAGCACGGAGCCCAGUGCAGGGCCUGAACUCACAACCCUCAGAUCAAGACCCGAGCAGACAUCAAGAGCCAGCCAUUCAACUGACUGAGCCACCCAGGCACCCCUGGUCUUUCAAUAAACUUUCACUGUUUUCUCUCCAAGUCUUUCACUUCUUUUGCUAAAUUUAUACCUAGGUACCAUAUGUUUUUAAAUGAAAUUGGGAAUGGUACCUCUUAAAAAUUAAGUUUUCUAAUUUCUUGUUGCUAGUCCAUAGUAAUACAACUCUGAGACCUCUGAGAAACAACUUAUUUACUUACACAUAGGAUUUACUAGGUAGAAAACCAUUUCUUCUCCAAAUAGUAACUACUUCAUUUCUUCCACUCUAACCCUUAUUUGAUCGCACUGGGUAGGAUCCCCGUGUCGAUCAGACAUAAAAAGAGUGAGCAGCCACCUUUGUUCUUUUUCCUGAUUUUAAAGGGAGUGUUUCUAAUUUCUCAUCCCAGACUAUGAGAGUUGCUGUAGUUUCUUGAGAGACGUCCUUUAUAUUAGUCAGAAUACGGUAGGCUAUGCUGUGGUUACACACACACACUUGGAAAUCUUAGAGGCUUAACACUAUAAUGGUUAUUUCUUGCUUACGCAAAGUCUGGUGAGAGUGAAGCAUCCUUACUCCAUCUUUAAUCUAUGCCAUCUGCAAUACACAGCCUCCAAGGUCACUGGAGCAAGAGAAGAGAGGGAUGGAGGAGGAAUCGGCUCAACUGCCUUCACCUAAAAGUGACACAUGUCACUUCCACUCACAGUCUACCGGACAAAACUAGUCACUUGGUCCCCGUCUACUCACUGAACUCUGUCUCUGCCAUAUCGCUAAUUCAGGAGGCACCUUUCUGUUUCCUGUCUGCGAAGAUUCUUAUCACGGACUGUGGCUUUUAUAAAACUUUUCCAACUACCAAGAUUAUACGGCUUUUCUCUUCCAUAUACAACGUGCAGAAUGAUAUUCAUAGAUUCACUAAUGCUAUACCCUUGCACGCUUGAGAUAAACCCAAGUUGCUCAUGUUAUGUUAUUACUUUAAACUUAUAACUGAAAUAUCCGUACGGACCUAACCACAGAUGACGUUGCGUGUUUGGCUGAAUAAAGCUUCGCAAAAGAAACAUACUGAUGUAAUCAGCACCCGCAUCAAGAAACAGAGCAUUACCAGCACUCCAAGAGCACCCGAUGACCCUUCCACAACCAAGCAGGCCCACAGUAACCGCGAUCCUGGCAUCCAGUCCCACAGAAGCUUUGUCUGCUGUUUAUGUGUUGUAAUAUUUGAUUUGUCAGUAUUUCAAGAUUUUUGCAAAU